UGAAUUUCAAUAAAAUAUCGAUAUAGUGGUGAAACUCUGUACACAUUCAACGUACAUUUAUACAUAUUUUAGGCUACAAACUUCAAAAUGAUAUUUUCUAUAUUUAUUGUAACGUUAUGGAUGACAGAAGCCAUUCCUUGGGAGUACCACCGCUGGCCUCCUGUCCACACAAAUACAUUACAAACACAACAAGGCAAAAUACCACUCAACGGAAUCAACUACAAAAAAAAACCAGUAUAUCAAAUGUAUAUACAGAGAAAACAUAUCCCAAAGAUGGUCAAAGUAUAUUAUGCUCCAGAGAAAAGAUUUGAUGAGCUCCAAGUUUUUACUGAUACGCCAUCAAGAAGACUAUUUGUUCAUCAUGAUAUUUUACCUUUAAGUCAUUUAGUUAGUGAUUUUGACAAUGAUAAUGUAAACUCUGUAAUUGAAAAAGAUAAUGUCCUAAAUGAUAUUAAUGGAGUUAAUGAUGAUGGAAGCGAGAAACGGGCUAUUGUUGAAGAAAUGGAAGAGAAAAACGACAAUUUUGAUUUUUGGUGGCCGGUUUGAGCUUUUUUUAGAAAUAAAAACUGUGAUGUUGU